rnacentral:snoRNA from 21 species
GGCAGGAUCAGUCCCCGAGACGGCCGUAGGCCGCCUAUGAAAGGGGCUCCGGACAACUACGCAA